UUAACUAAUUGAGCCUCCCAGGUGCCCAGGUUAAUGAGUUUUUAUAGCGAGGAUAGCCAUUCUUCCACUCUUUGAUAUCUGGAUUUGUUUAUUUUGGCUCUUGGAAGACAGAUCACUUAUUGGUCUUGGAUACACUGCAUCCUGUAAGACAAAAUCCAACUGGUGUUGUAACUAAGUUACAGGCUAGUUUGGAGCAUGCAUGUACACACAGACUGGCCCUGGACUUAGUGGAUACUAGUGUUGGGGAGAGCAGUACAUGCCAGCAUCUAUCUACUGAUCAAAAUGGGGUUCCUGAUAUACUACUAGACACUGUCAUGACUGAUUUGGUUAUCAUCCCACUGGAAUGCUAUGAGCCUGAUGUUUGAAAAAGUUCAACACUUUGAAUGGAUGGAAUUCAGAGAAGGCCAAUAAAUGAUAGAUCUUGUAAAAAUUACUUGAUAUCUUUGUAUUAAAGUAAAUGAGAGAAUGAGCAAAUAUAACCUUUUCUUCAUACUUAUUUAAGUCACAGAUUCUUUUUUUAAGGGUUUUAUUUAUUUAUUUAUUUUUUUGAGAGAAUGAGUGAGAGCAAAAGAGAGAGAGAGAGAGAGCAUGAUUGGGGUUGCGGGCAGAAGGAAAAGCAGACUCCCUGAUGACUAUGGAGCCCAAUAUGAGGCUCAAUCCAGGACCCUGGGAUCAUGACCCAAACCGAAGGCAGACGCUUAAUCGACUGAGCCACCCAGGUGCCCCAUAAAUACUACUUUCCAAUGACAGCAUGGCUCUACUUAUUCAGAAACUAAUUAAUUACAUGGCAAACUGACUCAUGAAAAUAAUAAACUAGCAAAACAUUUUUCAGAGUCAUUUGACAAAUACACAGAUCCUGCAAAAAUGGCAAUUAUGUCUAGUAUAUGCGUAACCUGAACAUAGUAUUAUGAAGGAAAAUAAUUUUUUUCAGUUCACUGUUAAUAAAUACAAAUAGAUAUGAAUUAUAUGAACUACAAAGGAUUGCACUGUCAAGUAAUAUUUUAAUUUUGAGUAGGAGUAUGUUCUGAUGACACAGGUGCAUAGACAGAAAAUUAUUCUAAAGUAGCAACUAGAUAAAGAUUUGAAUAUAACUUACUAUACUACUUCCUUUAUUUUGAGAAAUUUUUGUAUCAAAAUAAUGUCAGUAGAAAUGAACAAUAUGCUUUGUAAUGUAAUAAAAUGUAUGAAGUAGAUAAAAGAUGUGUUGAGUUCAAGGUUUUUCUUUCUAUAAAUAUCUACCAGUCCACUAAUUAUGAACAACUGGAUAUUGUAUCCUGAGGUAUAAUAAUUAUCAAGGGAAAAAGAGCUUUGUGAGGAAUUAGGAUGAAAAAUACAGUUGAUCUCAACAUUUUAGAUUCAUGAAGUAUUCAAUAAGAUUGACUUGUCUAUCAGAUAUUUUUAACGAUCUUAAUACUUCCAAACAAGAAGGUACGUAAAAUGUUUUUCAGUAGCAGAUAAAAAGUCAGAUGCAAAACAUAGAACUUUUUUGGAAGAAGACAAUUUAUACAGAAUAUGAUGAUGUGUUAUAUAAUUUCACAAUUAUCAGUGAAAUAAGUGAUGUUCUUGAUAUUGCACAUCUGCCAAGAGUUAUCAUCAAGUAACUUGAGAUAACCUUGAAGUCAAUUUUCCACCAAAGAGAAAUUUAAAGCCUUUUAACCCUAGACACAUGAAAAUUAAUUAUGAAGUUAAGAUAAAGAGAUUAAAAGUAAAGACAUAAAUAAAAAUAUAGCUGUUAUAUCAAUCUACACAUUCUGAAUACAGAGACUAUAUGUUCUUGUAAGUGAGGUUCAUUAUCACUAUAUCCACAUACAUAUAUACCUAUGAGAAAUGCUAGAAAUUUUUUUUUAGAAAGGCAAAACUACUCCACAAUCUUCAAAUUUUGUUUCUAUUAAUUCGUUCUUUCAUCGAAAGGGAAAAUCAAAAUCAAAUUUACAGCAUGUCUAGAAAAUUAUGAUCAUGAAAAUCCUACUUAAUAGAAUGUAUGCCAUAUAGCUAACGUUGUAGUCAAAAAAAUUAAAAUUCAGCUUACAAUAAUUAAUUAUUUGCUGAUUA
rnacentral:lncRNA from 1 species